rnacentral:rRNA from 1 species
AUUGAACGCUGGCGGCAUGCCUUACACAUGCAAGUCGAACGGCAGCACGGGAGCAAUCUUGGUGGCGAGUGGCGAACGGGCGAGUAAUACAUCGGAACGUGCCCAUUCGCGGGGGAUAACGCAGCGAAAGCUGUGCUCAUACCGCAUACGAUCUACCGAUGAAAGCAGGGGACCGCAAGGCCUUGCGCGCUUGGAGCGGCCGAUGGCAGAUUAGGUAGUUGGUGGGGUAAAGGCUCACCAAGCCAACGAUCUGUAGCUGGUCUGAGAGGACGACCAGCCACACUGGGACUGAGACACGGCCCAGACUCCUACGGGAGGCAGCAGUGGGGAAUUUUGGACAAUGGGCGCAAGCCUGAUCCAGCCAUGCCGCGUGCAGGAUGAAGGCCUUCGGGUUGUAAACUGCUUUUGUACGGAAAGAAACGGACUUUUCUAAUAAAGAGGGCUAAUGACGGUACCGUAAGAAUAAGCACCGGCUAACUACGUG